GGGGAUGUAUCUCAAAUGGUAGAGUGCUCGCUUUGCAUGCGAGAGGUAUAGGGUUCGAUACCCCACAUCUCUA
rnacentral:tRNA from 1 species